AAUCAAGAUGUCAGGGAAAACACCCAUCGGGAGCUACAGCCCUAAACAGCACAAUACUCCAGACACGGCCGACACAGAGAAGCCAGCAGAGAGGAGUACCUGUGCAGCGGCAGGGGUUUGAUCCGCGGCUUCUCGGAAGCUGAAGAUAGCGUUUUAAUCUGAGGCUUGGCUGUCGGGGAGGUUUCCAAAUCUCGGCUAAGCUCAGCUUCAGUUUUCUUAAUAAAUUCAUCAUACGACUAC